CAGUAGCCGCGGGAAUACGAAGGGAGCUAGCGUUGUUCGGAAUUACUGGGCGUAAAGGGCGCGUAGGCGGCUAUGUAAGUCAGAUGUGAAAGCCCCGGGCUCAACCUGGGAACUGCAUUUGAUACUGCAAAGCUAGAGAUCGAGAGAGGAAAGUGGAAUUACGAGUGUAGAAGUGAAAUUCGUAGAUAUUCGUAGGAACACCAGUGGCGAAGGCGGCUUUCUGGCUCGAUACUGACGCUAAAGCGCGAAAGCGUGGGGAGCAAACAGGAUUAGAUACCCCCGUAGUCCCUGUCUCUUAUAC
rnacentral:rRNA from 1 species